rnacentral:tRNA from 1 species
GCUCCCAUAGCUUAACCCAAAGCAUAGCACUGAAGAUGCUAAGAUGGUACCUAUCUACCUGGGGAC